UAUCAAUUCUCAAUUCUCUCAUUCGACCUGUCCCUCUCUGCGUGAUUCUAGAAAUCUCCACCUCCACAGCGACAUCAUCGUAGAUCUCGUCGUCGUCGUCGGCACCGCCGUCGAAAGCGGAUCUUCUGUAGCAGAUGGGGAUUCCGAUCCAGUACGUGAGGGAAGUGAAGGAAGGGCGGGAGGUGUGGGUGCGGCACAGGAAGGAGGCGACAUAGCGGCUGGAGCAGCUGGAGUCAGAGAAGGCCGAAGGCGCAACAAAGCUUGAGGGAGGAGGAGAUGGCGUAUGUUACCAGGAUGAAAGGAGAGUACAUGGAGCCAGUGGCGGAUCAGGAGAGCCCCCAAAUUUUGAAUGUUUUUUUUUAAUUUUUAUAUAUAUAAAUAAAAAAUAAUAGUAAUAAAACUAAAUACUCCAUGCUGUAAAACACAAACGGGACAGACUAAAUUUGAAACCCUUCUUGCUUGCUGCCGCUUCCAGAGUCGCCCCUGUCCGGCCACAACACCACCGCCGCUCGCGUUCCACGCCGACGCUGCGUCGGCUGCUCGUGACUCUCACACAUCCGCCAUCCGUGAUGGAUGUAUGGGCAUAGAUAUUGGGCCAUAUUCUAUUAAAUAUUCGACGAAACUCUUGAUUCUACUAAGACAAUCAUCUGGAAUGGCCUUAUGAAUUCGACAAGUUUGCAGCUGGAACAGAGGUCCAAGGGCUGUGAGAUGAGAGUCCCAACAACCGGGAUUGCUCCAGUGUCGACCUCUGUGUCUUUAGCCAUCUCGCGAGGUCGUGAAGGCCUUGGCGUGAACGGAUCAACAUCAGUCACAACAAUCUCACCCUCUCCAACAGUAGGGAGAUGAGGAACAGGGAGGGUCUCACAGAUGGGGCUCAUCAACUGCUCGGUAGUAUCGAUGGCCUCGGUAGUGUCGAUGGUCAUCGGAGUAAUAAAGGAUAAGUAUCCGAAAGUCGGGGAGUACAUCCCGGGAGAAUACAUGGGGUAAUGGUGGUCCAAGACGGCAAUAGGAGGAACCUCCCCUUCGGGCAUAAUGCCCUGAGGAAGUGAAGGAAGAGGGUCAGUAAUCGGCUGGGAGCUAGGAAGGUCUAGUCCCAAUGCCACAAAAGGAUCAUCAGUCUCAUGAAGACCCUGAGGCUGGCUCUCAGCGUCUCCCUCUCGGGUGUCACUCUCUAUCAGAUAAAAGUACGACGGGUUCGCAUUAACCACGAAACGGCUAAUUAGAAUGGCUAUGUACUCUGGAAAUCGCACCUCGAAACCUUCCAUUACCAACGGGUCAUAGAAGUCAGGGGCUAUGAAAUGACACCAAGCCUACCAAUGAGGUGGCAUCUUAUGCGGCAGGAUCUGCAUGGCCUGCUGAGCAGUGACCCCGUACUCUACGGCAUCAAUCCACCUGUGGUGGAAGCGAGCCAAAAACUCUCUUAUAGACUCAUGGUGCUCCAAGGUACAGUCAUAGAAGGCUUGCACUAUUUCAAAUCCGUUUGCCAUGCUAUAAACAAAAAUAACAACUCUUGUUACUCAAACUAUGUCAAGAAUGACUUACUCGCUUAUUACUCAAUAACAUACUCGUUUGUCGGUGUUCCUCUAGGAUUCCCGUAGUGCAUUAGUAUCAACAUUGAUUCGGAUAAAAAUUCCACCAUCUCACUUAUCCAAUCAACCAAAAUAAGAUAUCAAAUUAUAAU